CCUGAAGAGAGGGUGAGUGUCUUUGAUUCUCUCUCUAAGGCUACAUUCACACAGCAACUAAAAGUGGCCCAAAGGAAAUAUACACUGCUUGCCUCAUAUACAGAGAGUGAUAUGAAACAGUUUGAGCACCACUGAUCAUUUUUAUGAUUUUCCUUUAUAAAUCAUUGGUUGUUCAGAUCAGUAAUUUUAGUUGAAUAUAUCAUAUAGCAGAUGAACACAGUGAUAUUUGAGAAGUGAAAUGAAGUUUAUAGGAUUAACAGAAAGUCUGCAAUAAUUCUUGAAAUUAAAUUAGGCAGGUGCAUUAAUCUGGGCCCAAACAGAAAAGGUACAUCAACAUUUAGUAGAUCCUCCUUUUGCAGAAAGUUCAGGCUUCUCGUGCAGAGACUGAAAAUAGAACAGAAACUAGUUUUCCAGCUAAAUAAACAUAAUUAAACCAGGUCUAAUUAACAAAUAUACACUAGAAACACAACUACCUAUCUGUUGAGUGUAAGUAACAAUUUCAGAAAUGUGUUUAGCCCUAUAAAAUAAGCAAAUCUAUUGGUUAUCACAUGAUAUCAUUGAUGACUUGAAGAACAUUGUUAAUAAUUGUAUUCACUAUAGAGGUUUCCAGUAAUAAUACUGAAAAAUAAGACAAGCGUUAGGAGUCCUAUAAAACAGGAAAAUGAAAGGAUUAUCAUAUCACAACACUAAACUAACUUUUUAAUAUCUCUUUCUCAUGUAUUAAAGAUAUCUGUUUCAAGUGAUAUUACUGUAUCAUUUUGGAAUAAUGAGAUACCAACCUUAGGAAAAGUCCAUAUUUAUUAAGUUGUUAAUAAAACAGAUUUGAUCACUUGUGUGCUGACCUCCUCAUUUCCACAUGAGAUCAGCCUGACUUUAAUGCACUUGUCUAAGCCCAAAACAGGCCAAAUUUCUCUCACUGAACUUAAUUGAAGCUGGUCUUUUGAAAACUGUGAUUUUUGUGUAAAGUUGUGUAGAUGACAGUGCUGCUAGUUUUUAAACACUGUAAAUGUUGCACAUUUCCCCCCCCAAAAAAUCAUAAAUGUUGGUUAAAUAUUUAUAUAAUUAUCUGCUCAAAAUUUCAUUGCAUCGCUGAAAUGUUUCAUUUACUGUUAUUUAUUAACUUAAAGCAAUGCUGGUCUUUGAAAAAUGUGCUAUUUUAUGUCAGGUUGUGAUGCUAGUCAAAACCAUGCAAAAUGUUUACAGUUUUCUAAACUGAACCAUCACAUGUUUAUUAAAUAAUUAUAUAAUUCACAAAACAUUUACAAAACAUCUCCAGUUCAGUCAGGUUUGAUGAUUUCUUAGCAUGAACAGUCCACCUUAAAUCACACCACAGAUUUUCAACAGCAUUCAGGUCUUGGUAGCUGAGAAAAGCAUGAUAGCUAAUAUGAGAAGAAGAAGAAGAAGAAGAAGAAGAAGAACACUGAUUCGGUAAUAUAAGAAGAACAAGAGGAAUAAAAACAAGAAGAAGAAGAACAAGAACAAGACGAAGAAGAAGAUGACUGAUUCGGGCUUGUCGAUUUCUGAAGCCACACAAGCAUGACCAAGACUGGACAGGGGUUUGGACUGUAGACAGCAAACUAAUGUGAUUUAAUGUGAUUUUCUUUUCAUCAGUAGUUUACGACCUGAGGAGGAUGGGUCCUCCCUGUGAGUCUGGUUCCUCCCAAGGUUUCUUCCUCCCGCUUUGAGGGAGUUUUUCCUUGCCACUGUCGCCUUUGGCUUGCUCACAGGGGGUUUUAUAAAUAAAGUAUUAAGGAGACCAGCUUGGACACAGUUUUGGUAGCUGGAAAAAGCCUAAUAGCUAAUAUAAGAAGAAGUAGAAAAAGAAGAAGAAGAAGAACAAGACGAAGAAGAAGACUAAUUUGGGCUCGUCGAUUUCUGAAGCCACACAAGCAUGACCAACACUGGACAGGGGUUCGAACUGUAGACAGCAAACUAAUGUGAUUAAAUGUGAUUUUUUUUUCAUCAGUAGUUUACGACCUGAGGAGGAUGGGUCACCCCUGUGAUUCUGGUUCCUCCCAAGGUUUCUUCCUCCCGCUUUGAGGGAGUUUUUCCUUGCCACUGUCGCCUUUGGCUUGCUCACAGGGGUUUUUAUAAAUAAAGUAUUAAGGAGACCAGCCUGGACACAGUUUUGGUCGCUGGGAAAAGCCUGAUAGCUAACAUAAGCAGAACAAGAAUAAGAAAAAGAAGAAGAAGAACAAGACGAAGAAGAAGACUGAUUCGGGCUCGUCGUUUUCUGAAGCCACACAAGCACCACCAAGACUGGACAGGGGUUCGGACUGUAGACAGCAAACUAAUGUGAUAAAAUGUGAUUUUUUUUUCAUCAAUAGUUUAUGACCUGAGGAGGAUGGGUCCCCCCUGUGAGUCUGGUUCCUCCCAAGGUUUCUUCCUCCCGCUUUGAGGGAGUUUUUCCUUGCCACUGUCGCCUUUGGCUUGCUCACAGGGGGUUUUAUAAAUAAAGUAUUAAGGAGACCAGCUUGGACACAGUUUUGGUAGCUGGGAAAAGCCUAAUAGCUAAUAUAAGAAGAAGUAGAAAAAGAAGAACAAGAAGAACAAGACGAAGAAGAAGACUAAUUUGGGCUCGUCGAUUUCUGAAGCCACACAAGCAUGACCAACACUGGACAGGGGUUCGAACUGUAGACAGCAAACUAAUGUGAUUAAAUGUGAUUUUUUUUUUCAUCAGUAGUUUACGACCUGAGGAGGAUGGGUCCCCCCCUGUGAGUCUGUUCCUCCCAAGUUUUCUUCCUCCCGCUUUGAGGGAGUUUUUCCUUGCCACUGUCGUCUUUGGCUUGCUCACAGGGGGUUUUAUAAAUAAAGUAUUAAGAAGCCCAGCCUGGGCACAAUCUUGGUAGCUGGGAAAAGCCUGAUAGCUAAUAUAAGAAGAACAAGAAGAAAAAGAAGAAGAACAACAAGAAGAAGAAGACUGAUUCGGGCUCAUCAUUGUCUGAAGCCACAUAAGCAUAAGCCUGGUUCCUUCCAAGGUUUCUUCUUUCCGCUUUGAUGGAGUUUUUCCUUGCCACUGUCGCCUUUGGCUUGCUCACAGGGAGUUUUAUAAAUAAAGUAUUAAGGAGACCAACCUGGACACAGUUUUGGUGGCUGGGAAAAGCCUGAUAGCUAAUAUAAGCAGAACAAGAAUGAAAAAAAAGAAAAACGAGAAGAAGAACAAGAAAAAGAAGAAGAUUGAUUCAGGCUCGUCUUUUUCUGAAGCCACACAAGCACCACCAAGACUGGACAGGGGUUCGGACUGUAGACAGCAAACUAAUGUGAUAAAAUGUGUUUUUUUUCCCAUCAAUACUUUACGACCUGAGGAGGAUGGGUCCCCCCUGUGAGUCUGGUUCCUCCCAAGGUUUCUUCCUCCCGCUUUGAGGGAGUUUUUCCUUGCCACUGUCGCCUUUGGCUUGCUUACAGGGGGUUUUAUAAAUAAAGUAUUAAGGAGACCAGCCUGGGCACAGUCUUGUUAGCUGGGAAAAGCCUGAUAGCUAAUAUAAGAAGAAGAAGAAAAACAAGAAGAAGAAGAAGAAGAAGAAGAACAACAACAACAACAACAAGAAAAAGAACAAGAAGAAGAAAAACAAUAAGAAGAACAAGAAGAAGAAGACUGAUUCGGGCUCGUCGUUUUCUGAAGCCACACAAGCACCACCAAGACUGGACAGGGGUUCGGACUGUAGACAGCAAACUAAUGUGAUUAAAUGUGUUUUUUUUUAUCAAUAGUUUAUGACCUGAGGAGAAUGGGUCCCCCCUGUGAGUCUGGUUCCUCCCAAGGUUUCUUCCUCCCGCUUUGAGGGAGUUUUUCCUUGCCACUGUUGCCUUUGGCUUGCUCACAGGGGGUUUUAUUAAUAAAGUAUUGAGGACACCAGCUUGGACACAGUUUUGGUAGCUGGGAAAAGCCUCAUAGCUAAUAUAAGAAGAACAAGAAGAACAAGACAAAGAAGAAGACUGAUUCCGGUUCGUCGUUUUCCGAAGCCACACAAGCAUGAGCGAGACUGGACAGGGGUUCGAACUGUAGACGGCAAACUAAUGUGAUUAAAUGUGUUUUUUUUUCAUCAGUAGUUUACGACCUGAGGAGGAUGGGUCCCCCCUGUGAGUCUGGUUCCUCCCAAGGUUUCUUCCUCCCGCUUUGAGGGAGUUUUUCCUUGCCACUGUCGUCUUUGGCUUGCUCACAGGGGGUUUUAUAAAUAAAGUAUUAAGAAGCCCAGCCUGGGCACAAUCUUGGUAGCUGGGAAAAGCCUGAUAGCUAAUAUAAGAAAAACAAGAAGAAAAAGAAGAAGAAGAAGAAGAAGACUGAUUCGGGCUCAUCAUUGUCUGAAGCCACAUAAGCAUAAGCCUGGUUCCUUCCAAGGUUUCUUCUUUCCGCUUUGAUGGAGUUUUUCCUUGCCACUGUCGCCUUUGGCUUGCUCACAGGGAGUUUUAUAAAUAAAGUAUUAAGGAGACCAACCUGGACACAGUUUUGGUCGCUGGGAAAAGCCUGAUAGCUAAUAUAAGCAUAACAAGAAUGAAAAAAAAGUAAAACGAGAAGAAGAACAAGAAAAAGAAGAAGACUGAUUCAGGCUCGUCUUUUUCUGAAGCCACACAAGCACCACCAAGACUGCACAGGGGUUCGGACUGUAGACAGCAAACUAAUGUGAUAAAAUGUGUUUUUUUUCCCAUCAAUACUUUACGACCUGAGGAGGAUGGGUCCCCCCUGUGAGUCUGGUUCCUCCCAAGGUUUCUUCCUCCCGCUUUGAGGGAGUUUUUCCUUGCCACUGUCGCCUUUGGCUUGCUCACAGGGGGUUUUAUAAAUAAAGUAUUAAGGAGACCAGCUUGGACACAGUUUUGGUAGCUGGGAAAAGCCUAAUAGCUAAUAUAAGAAGAAGUAGAAAAAGAAGAACAAGAAGAACAAGACGAAGAAGAAGACUCAUUUGGGCUCGUCGAUUUCUGAAGCCACACAAGCAUGACCAACAUUGGACAGGGGUUCGAACUGUAGACAGCAAAUUAAUGUGAUUAAAUGUGAUUUUUUUUUCAUC